rnacentral:rRNA from 1 species
UACAGAGGUGGCAAGCGUUGUUCGGAAUCACUGGGCUUAAAGGGUGCGCAGGCGGUCGGAAGGGUGUCUUGUGAAAUCCCUCGGCUCAACCGAGGAAUUGCGGGGCAAACCGUCCGACUUGAGGCAGGUAGGGGUUGAUGGAACUCUGGGUGGAGCGGUGAAAUGCGUAGAUAUCCAGGGGAACGCCAAUGGCGAAAGCAGUCAACUGGGCCUGUCCUGACGCUGAGGCACGAAAGCCAGGGGAGCAAAC